rnacentral:rRNA from 1 species
GACGAACGCUGGCGGCGUGCUUAACACAUGCAAGUCGAGCGGAAAGGCCCUUCGGGGCACUCGAGCGGCGAACGGGUGAGUAACACGUGAGUAAUCUGCCCUUGGCUUUGGGAUAACUACCGGAAACGGUGGCUAAUACCGGAUACGACAACCGUCUGCAUGGGCUGGUUGUGGAAAGUUUUUUCGGCCAGGGAUGUGCUCGCGGCCUAUCAGCUUGUUGGUGGGGUAAUGGCCUACCAAGACUUCGACGGGUAGCCGGCCUGAGAGGGUGACCGGCCACACUGGGACUGAGACACGGCCCAGAGUCCUACGGGGGGCAGCAGUGGGGAAUAUUGGACAAUGGGCGGAAGCCUGAUCCAGCAACGCCGCGUGAGGGAUGACGGCCUUCGGGUUGUAAACCUCUUUCAGUACCGACGAAGCGCCGAUGAUGGUGGUGACGGUAGGUACAGAAGAAGCACCGGCCAACUACGU